rnacentral:lncRNA from 1 species
GUCUUUUGCAUGGCAGCAAGCACUGCCGCUGAAGGCAGGUAGAACUGCAAAUCCCAGCAAAACGACGAGAGGAAUUUCCAAGCAACAACUCGCUGUGACCGGUUCAUGGCCUGUCCCAAGGCUGUGGGUCAGAGGUGUUGUCAUAACCCAGUUGGUGUGUUUUCUUUCUUGGUGCAUCUUAUAACCACUGGGAGACAUUCUCACUCCCAGGUUGCAAAAGUUCUGUUAAGGUCCCUGGCUCAAGGUCAGAUGUUCAUUAUCAUCAGGCUUAGGCCACAGCUUUAAAUUCUUUAUUGUAAUUCUCCGUAGUGUGCAUGUGGAAAUGGACAAAAGGGUCACGAGUUCAAGUCUGGCAGCAUGGAGCCUACUUGAAGAAGAAGAAGAAGAAGAAGGAGAAGGAGAAGGAGAAGAGGAAGAGUUGGUAGGACGGCAGCCCCUACAGGUCUGUGAGGAAUUUCUUCAGAGCAUUGUUCUAGCGGGCUGGAACUUUGCUAGGGAGAGAAACCAGCAGAGCCUGUUCCACCAAUGUCGAGAACAGACAGAACUCCCUAGAACUCCAGCUGAUGGCCGGAGUCCUUAUUUCUUCCCACAUUGGAAUUUGCCCCACUUUGGAGUGAACGCUGGCCUGGAGAUCCUGCUUCUGUCUUUCUUCUCCAGCUUUGCUCCUUCUUGUCAUUCCCGGGCUUUCUCCCUAAGUCUUCUCUUGCCACGGACAGCAAGACACCCCUGGCAGCGCUGA